UACGAAGGGGGCAAGCGUUGUUCGGAAUUACUGGGCGUAAAGGGCGCGUAGGCGGCUUAUCAAGUCAGGCGUGAAAUUCCCGGGCUCAACCUGGGGGCUGCGCUGAUACUGAUUGGCUUGAAUGCGGGAGAGGAUAGUGGAAUUCCCAGUGUAGAGGUGAAAUUCGUAGAUAUUGGGAAGAACACCGGUGGCGAAGGCGGCUAUCUGGCCCGUAAUUGACGCUGAGGCGCGAAAGCGUGGGGAGCAACAGG
rnacentral:rRNA from 1 species